rnacentral:rRNA from 1 species
UACGUAGGAGACGAGCGUUGUCCGGAAUCACUGGGCGUAAAGCGCGUGUAGGCGGGUGAGCAAGUCUGCUGUGAAAACUCCUGGCCUAACCGGGAGAGGUCGGUGGAAACUGCUCGUCUGGAGGACGGUAGAGGCUGGUGGAAUUCCCGGUGUAGUGGUGAAAUGCGUAGAGAUCGGGAGGAACACCUGUGGCGAAGGCGGCCAGCUGGGCCGGACCUGACGCUGAGACGCGAAGGCGUGGGGAGCGAACGGG